GAUGAAGAACGUAGCGAAAUGCGAUAAGUAAUGUGAAUUGCAGAAUUCAGUGAAUCAUCGAAUCUUUGAACGCACCUUGCACCCUUUGGUAUUCCGAAGGGUAUGCUCGUUUGAGUGUCAUUGUACUCUCACACUUCUAAUUCCUUUCGGGAUUGGGAGCGGUGGACUUGGGUGUUGCUGCUUUAGUUGUGGCUCACCUCAAAUAAGUUAGUGCAACUCUUGGUUGGACAUAGUACGGCGUGAUAAGUGUCUUCGCCGGCGCCUCUGUAAGGAGGGUGGCCGAUCGGGAGCUCUGUGCCUCAAACCGUCUUCGGACAAUCUUUGACAACUUGACCUCAAAUCGAGUAGGACUACCCGCUGAACUUAAGCAUAUCAAUAAGCGGAGGA
rnacentral:misc_RNA from 1 species